rnacentral:rRNA from 1 species
CCAAUAGCGUAUAUUAAAGUUGUUGCAGUUAAAAAGCUCGUAGUUGAAUUUCGGGAUCAAUUAAUUGGUCGUGCCUCUGGUACGUACUGAUUUUAUUGGUUUCUCCCUUCUGACGAACCAUGAUGUCAUUAAUUUGAUGUCGUGGAGAAUCAGGACUGUUACUUUGAAAAAAUUAGAGUGUUUAAAGCAAGCUAACGCUUGAAUACAUUAGCAUGGAAUAAUGAAAUAGGACGUUUGAUCCUAUUUUGUUGGUUUCUAGGAUCGACGUAAUGAUUAAUAGGGAUAGUUGGGGGCAUUAGUAUUCAAUUGUCAGAGGUGAAAUUCUUGGAUUUAUUGAAGACUAACUACUGCGAAAGCAUUUGCCAAGGAUGUUUUCAUUAAUCAAGAACGAAAGUUAGGGGAUCGAAGACGAUCAGAUACCGUCGUAGUCUUAACCAUAAACUAUGCCGACUAGGGAUCGGAUGAUGUUAAUUUUUUAAUGACUCAUUCGGCGCCUUACGGGAAACCAAAGUGUUUGGGUC